GGAAGUGGUGACUAAGCUGAGACCUGAAGAUGAGAAGGAGUUAGCCAGGGGGAGGCAGACACAAUAGCAUGUGCCAAAGAAGAACUAGGGUCUAUCAUCCCCAUUUCCUACGUGAUCAAGCCCACCAAGAUCUUUGCAGUACCCACAGGACCCACACCUGUGUUUUCCAGCUUUCCAGUGCAGUGACGUAGCGAUGUUGCUAGAAAAAGCUGUGGAAAAGGGGGAGUGAAGUCGACUCCUCCUGCCUGGGUAGCCCUGCAGAAGGAAGCGGGUAAGCAUUUGGUAUUGUGGAGGAGAAAACUCUGGACUGGAAAGCAGGAGUAUACAGUAAAUCCUCACUUAACAUCUUUGAUAGGUUCUUGGAACUGUGGUGAAAUGACAUAUAAUAAAACCAAUAUACCAUAUGCUGAUUGAUAUAAACAAUAGUUAAGUUCCUAUGGCAUCUCAUCAACAUUAGAACAAACGACGCUGAACGGAUAUGAAGUUAUUCGAGGACUAGGCUACGUGUCCCAACCCUGCCACCAGCAAAUUCAUAAAACUUGCUUGUUCUAAGCCUCAGUUUCUCCACUGGUUCAAGGAAGGGACUGCCUGUUGAUCCCUCCUCUUGUUCUAUCCUUGCCUUCGCCUCGCUCCCAGAAAGCCUCUUCCCUUCUCUUGACCCACAGAAGACAUCACUUCCUUGAAGACUUGGCUCACUGUGGGCCUCCUGGCAGCGCCUUCCUGGGGCAGAGGGCCAAAAUCCUGACAAGAUUAAGAAGAGGCUUUGGGACUGGGCCAGUCUGGGAAAACAGGAAAGAUGACGAACCAAGCUUCCCCCCACCCCUCCGGGGGUUGUUUAUUCCAGUGUUCCCUCAGCUGAAUUUUCUGGAUACACAGUAACCCUUGACUUUUCAUCCUGUGCCCAGCCUCUGCCCCAUAGCACCUACUGCAGCCCUAUGACGUAGAGCUCAUGGGAUGGGCCUGCUCCCGUGCCCACUUGGCCAGCGGCACCGAGCUCCUGGAAAGCAGGAGGAACAUAGGUAUAUCCUACCUGAGUACCUACCACGUUCCAUGGGAGGAACUGUCCUCUCACACAAGCCUCAUCAGCUCCCUGGGCCAUGUGACUUGCUCUGGCCAAAAGAAUGUGUGGAAGUGACAGGGGCCAGCUCCAAGACACCGAGUGCUUCUUGAACAACUGUCCUCAGCCUUUAGAACCACAAGUACCCAACAGUGGGGCUCUUCCGGCCUGGAUUCAGAAUGGAAGAUGCACAAGGCAGUCCUGCCCUCCACCUGGACCCUGGAGCCCAGCCCAGCCCAGUUCAGUAUUGUUGCAGCAAAAUCUGACCAACGUGGGCCCCUAACUCACUCCUUUGUGUUGCCUUUAGUCUGCGCCUGAGGAAGGAGUCUCUGAUUAGGUGAUAUUUGACCUGAGGCCCGAAUACUAAGAAGGAGCUAUUUAUGUGGCCAUGUGGGGGGAAAGUGUUCCAGGCAGAGGGAACGGCAAUGUUUCGGCCCUGAGGCUGGAGAAAACUUGGUCUGUUCAGGAAUAGAAU